UUUAUUUAUUUGCAAUUUUCCAAAAAAAAAAAAUAUUUAAAAAAAAAUGUUUUUCAAAUUUAAAAUUUCUGUAUCGAUCUCUCGAUUCGAGUUCGAUACUUUUUUCAAUGCUCUGAAAAUCGAUCAUUUUGGGCAUAGUUCAGUUGUCUUCUGCUUCUCCUCGUUUUUGUUUGUGAUGAGGUUAUGUGCUAAGCGUAUUAUCGUGCCGAUUUCAUCGACAAUAAAGGAUCAAACGCUAAUAUACUAAAAAGUGGAAUUAGGAUUCAAAGUAAUGACCCACCAGUGAAGGCAUUUUCCAAAAUUCCAAAAAUUCCCAGCGAAACUG